CGUAUAAUGUAAUUGGGAGCAUGCCAGAUUAAUAAUCUAGAAAUGUAGGUUCAAGUCCUACUGCG
rnacentral:tRNA from 1 species